rnacentral:rRNA from 1 species
GACGAACGCUGGCUGCGGGCUUAACACAUGCAAGUCGCACGGCAACGCCCUGCUUGUUUGGGGUGCUCGAGUGGCGAACGGGUGAGUAACACUUGAGUAACCUGCCCUUGACUUUGGCAUCACUUCAGGAAACUGGGGCUAAUACCGGAUCGGUGCUCCUUCUGUUUGGUGGGUGUUGGAAAGUUUCGGCGGUUGGGGAUGGACUCGCGGCUUAUCAGCUUGUUGGUGGGGUAGUGGCUUACCAAGGCUUUGACGGGUAGCCGGCCUGAGAGGGUGACCGGCAAAAGUGGGACAGAGAUACGGCCGAGAGUACUAAGGGAGGCAGCAGUGGGGAAGAAUGCACAAUGGGCGGAAGCAUGAUGCAGCAACGCCGCGUGAGGGAUGACGGCCUUCGGGUAGGAAACCGUUAACGCCUGUGACGAAGCGUGAGUGAAGGUAAUGGGUAAAGAAGCACCGGCUAACUACGUG